ensembl:piRNA 21ur-8193 ncRNA
UUUCUAUCGUGUUGUAAUUUC